GCUGUGGACACAAAAGGGGGUGUAGGUCAGAAAAAGAGCACAUAAGCUAUUUUGCAGAAUAUUCCCCUCAGCAGCCCACCCACGUUGUGAAAAAAUGGAAAUAACGGGCCCCUGAAAAGCCCCAACAUUUGUAGAGGGAAACGAGGAUGUUCAAUAAUUUAAAAAGCGCAGUUCUGACCAGCUUCUAGGGCAAUGCAUUCAUGCCUCAUGGCAAUGCCUGCUGCUAUUACCAUUAGACUAGGUUAAGCAGUCCUCUAAUGAGGACAAAACAAGUAUGACUUUAAUAAAAGUAGCCCAAACAGAGCUAGAUCUACAAAGAUUUUUUUAAAAGAUGGAAGAUGGUAUAUGUUACAAAUAGGAGUAGCACAAUUGCUACUGUUUGAAAUGUAAAAAGAAAAGUUUUGGAAUAUUUACUAAAGAAAAAAAAAUAGACAUUACCCAGUGAUCUAAUGAUCUAAUAAUCUUUCCUAUGUGCACCUAUAAGAACUAAGGGUUGUUUUAAUUGGCAUUAACUAAAUCUGGAGAGAAUUUUUAUUUGGAGGUUUAAAGAACUUUUUUUCCUUUUAUGACUUCUAAUUCAGUAACUUUUCUAGAAUGAGAAUUUAGGUUGUUAAUUUUGGAAGACACAGAAUUAGUUCCUCUCUCCUACCAGGCUUUAAAGUAACCUUGCUUUUCUAAGGGCACUGUUAUCAGAUUUUAAGGAUCUUUGUUAAUAUAAUUACCAUUCCUUGAACAUUUGUUCUCUGCUUUUUGUAUUAAGCUAGGCUAGGUUUUCUAGCAAAGAAUGGCAGUUAGGAGUCUGAUAAGAACCAAUUUAAGCCUCAAUAUUCUGAGCAAUAGGAGGAAAUGGACAUGAACUAAAGUACUUAUGGGUAUUAUAUAACCUGACAAAUUUUAUGAUUUUAAUAAAUGGAGUAUCUUUGCAGCUGAGAAUAGUGAUGUUUAUUAUCUAAUCAGUUUCCCACAAACCUGUAAGAAGAUCUGCUGGAGCCUCUCUAUGCAGUUCUUAUACCACGGUGUUAAUAUGCUGGUCCCGUCCGUCUCACAUCGUACUAAAUGCUCAGUCAAGAUCAUGAUAAAGCGCUGGAAAGGGGGUACAGAGUUAGAGGUGUUAAGAGAGGGAGUGAAUGAAUUCUUCAGAAACAAUCCCACCUUGACCAAGGGACUGUAAAGAUGCUAUCUGUUCUGCUGUCUUUUUGAUAUAUAACUUUUCAUAAUUCAACAAAUACUGUCUACAAAGACACACCAGUAAUAAUGUUAGUACAUUCUCUUUGGCAAUAGGUAAGGACCUUUAAUGUCUAGAUUACUUAGGACAUAAUCAGAACUGUUAGAGGAAUCUAUGUACAAAAAUGUUCAUCAAGAAG